UCUCCCGCAAUAUUGAGUUAUCGCAUGUGUGCGUGCAUCAAAGAAACCACACUUAAUUAAAUAUUGUUUGAGUUUGCAA